UACGGGGGGGGGCAAGCGUUGUUCGGAAUUACUGGGCGUAAAGGGCUCGUAGGCGGCCAACUAAGUCAGACGUGAAAUCCCUCGGCUUAACCGGGGAACUGCGUCUGAUACUGGAUGGCUUUGAGUUUGGGAGAGGGAUGCGGAAUUCCAGGUGUAGCGGUGAAAUGCGUAGAUAUCUGGAGGAACACCGGGUGGCGAAGGCGGCAUCCUGGACCAAUACUGACGUGAGGAGCGAAAGCCAGGGGAGGC
rnacentral:rRNA from 1 species